rnacentral:tRNA from 4 species
GCCGGGUUGGCCCAAUCAGGUAGAGGCGCCGCGCUCAAAACGCGGAGGUUGCGGGUUCGAAUCCCGCCCCCGGCA